rnacentral:tRNA from 1 species
ACCUGGGUGGCUCAGUUGGUUGAGCGUCCGACUUCGGCUCAGGUAGUGAUCUUGCAGUUUGUGGGUUCAAGCCCCGCGUCAGGCU